GAUGAAGAACGUAGCGAAAUGCGAUAAGUAAUGAGAAUUGCAGAAUUCAGUGGAUCAUCGAAUCUUGAACGCACAUUGCGCCCCUUGGUAUUCCGAGGGGCAUGCCUGUUCGAGCGUCAUUUCAACCCUCAAGCUCUGCUUGGUCUUGGGCCUGGCCGUGAUGGCCGGUCUUAAAAUCAGUGGCGGUGCCGUCGCAGGCUCCAAGCGUAGUACAUCUCUCGCUCUGGAAACUUGGCGGUGCCUGCCAGACAACCCCUAAUUGUCUCUUUCGGUUGACCUCGGAUCAGGUAGGGAUACCCGCUGAACUUAAGCAUAUCAAUAAGCGGAGGA
rnacentral:misc_RNA from 1 species